GAUGAACGUUGGCGGUGUGCCUAAUACAUGCAAGUCGAACGGUGAUCUUAUGGGAGCUUGCUUCCAUUUGAUUAUAGUGGCGAACGGGUGAGUAACGCGUUGGUGAUCUGCCUCGAAGUGUGGAAUAACGUUCCGAAAGGGACGCUAAUACCGCAUGUGCUCAAGGUUUUUAGAAAGCUUUGAGUAAAGGAUUUAUUCGCUUCGAGAGGAGCCUGCGUCCCAUCAGCUAGUUGGUAAGGUAACGGCUUACCAAGGCUAUGACGGGUAGGGGACCUGAGAGGGUGGCCCCCCACAAUGGAACUGAAACACGGUCCAUACACCUACGGGUGGCAGCAGUAGGGAAUAUUAGAAAUGGGCGAAAGCCUGAUCUAGCGACACCGCGUGUGCGAUGAAGGCCUUCGGGUUGUAAAGCACUUUUUGGAAGGAAUAUGAAGGAAGGUACUUCCAGAAUAAGUCUCGGCUAACUACGUGCCAGCAGCCGCGGUAACAC
rnacentral:rRNA from 1 species